rnacentral:rRNA from 1 species
AUGAGGGGUAGGGGAUGGAUACACUGCCAUGCCCAGUUCCUAGUACCAGUGGAGGCCGGUGGUCAAGAGGAGAGAUCCAUGGAGGAAAAGAAGAAACAGAGAGGGAAUGAGGGGAGGAGAAUGACGGGAGGGAGGAAGAGGAUAAGGAAGGAGAAAAAUAGAAAAGGGAAGGGACAACGUGGGCCCGACAAAAAAAACGUGCCGAUGCAGGGAGGUAGCGCAUGCCAGCGAGGACCCGCGUGGCGAAGCAGCGUGCGACCGGCGCAAACUCGGCCGGCGCACCGUUGCCAAACGUUUCCCAUAAACAAAGCAUAUAUUCAUAAUAUCACAAGCAGAAGCAUCCAACAAGCUCCUACAACCCAUGUAGAGCAAAGUGGUGAAGCCACCAACUGUUAUGCUACACAUAGCAAAGAAAACAUACGGUCCAACACACCUUGA